GCGUGAGUGAUGAAGGCCUUAGGGUUGUAAAGCUCUUUUGGCGGGGACGAUGAUGACGGUACCCGCAGAAUAAGCCCCGGCUAACUUCGUGCCAGCAGCCGCGGUAAUACGAAGGGGGCGAGCGUUGUUCGGAAUUACUGGGCGUAAAGGGCGCGUAGGCGGCGACCCAAGUCAGAUGUGAAAGUCCUGGGCUUAACCUGGGGACUGCAUUUGAUACUGGGUUGCUUGAAUUCGGGAGAGGAUAGCGGAAUUCCCAGUGUAGAGGUGAAAUUCGU
rnacentral:rRNA from 1 species